rnacentral:rRNA from 1 species
CCGUGCCAGCAGCCGCGGUAAUACGGAGGAUCCAAGCGUUAUCCGGAUUUAUUGGGUUUAAAGGGUCCGCAGGCGGAAUAUUAAGUCAGUGGUGAAAUCCUACAGCUUAACUGUAGAACUGCCAUUGAUACUGGUUUUCUUGAGUACACCUGAAGUGGGCGGAAUGUGUCAUGUAGCGGUGAAAUGCUUAGAUAUGACACAGAACACCGAUUGCGAAGGCAGCUCACUAAAGUGUAACUGACGCUGAGGGACGAAAGCGUGGGUAGCGAACAGGAUUAGAUACCCUGGUAGUCCACGCCGUAAACGAUGAUCACUAGAUGUUGGCGAUAUAUUGUCAGUAUCUGAGCGAAAGCAUUAAGUGAUCCACCUGGGGAGUACGGUCGCAAGAUUGAAACUCAAAGGAAUUGACGGGGGCCCGCACAAGCGGUGGAGCAUGUGGUUUAAUUCGAUGGUACGCGAGGAACCUUACCUAGGCUUAAAUGUAGAUUGACGUAUUGGGAAACCAGUAUUUCUUCGGACAAUUUACAAGGUGCUGCAUGGUUGUCGUCAGCUCGUGCUGUGAAGUGUCGGGUUAAGUCCCAUAACGAGCGCAACCCCUAUCAUUAGUUGCUAACAUUUAGUUGAGGACUCUAAUGAAACUGCCCGCGUAAGCGUGGAGGAAGGUGGGGAUGACGUCAAAUCAUCACGGCCCUUACGUCUAGGGCUACACACGUGCUACAAUGGUGAAUACAGAGGGAAGCCAACUGGUAACAGUGAGCAAAUCCA